GGGCCCGCACAAGCGGUGGAGCAUGUGGUUUAAUUCGAAGCAACGCGAAGAACCUUACCAGGUCUUGACAUCCCUGGACAGCUGUGGAAACACAGUUUCCCUUCGGGGCCAGGAGACAGGUGGUGCAUGGUUGUCGUCAGCUCGUGUCGUGAGAUGUUGGGUUAAGUCCCGCAACGAGCGCAACCCUUGCCUUUAGUUGCCAUCAUUAAGUUGGGGGACUCUAAAGGGACUGCCGGUGACAAAUCGGAGGAAGGUGGGG
rnacentral:rRNA from 1 species